rnacentral:tRNA from 1 species
UAGCUCAGUUGGUAGAGCCCUCCACCUGUAAUGGAGAGGUCCCGGGUUCGAUACCCGG